rnacentral:rRNA from 1 species
GACGAACGCUGGCGGCGUGCUUAACACAUGCAAGUCGAACGGAAAGGCCCUGCUUUUGUGGGGUGCUCGAGUGGCGAACGGGUGAGUAACACGUGAGUAACCUGCCCUUGACUUUGGGAUAACUUCAGGAAACUGGGGCUAAUACCGGAUAGGAGCUCCUGCUGCAUGGUGGGGGUUGGAAAGUUUCGGCGGUUGGGGAUGGACUCGCGGCUUAUCAGCUUGUUGGUGGGGUAGUGGCUUACCAAGGCUUUGACGGGUAGCCGGCCUGAGAGGGUGACCGGCCACAUUGGUACUGAGAUACGGCCCAGACUCCUACGGUAGGCAGCAGUGGGGAAUAUUGCACAAUGGGCGGAAGCCUGAUGCAGCAACGCCGCGUGCGGGAUGACUGCCUUCGGGUUGUAAACCGCUUUCGCCUGUGACGAAGCGUGAGUGACGGUAAUGGGUAAAGAAGCACCGGCUAACUACGUG